AAGACCUGCUCCACCUGCUGCUCUACUGGUUGUAACAGAUUAUGGAAAAGCGUCUCAUGUUGAAGUUCAACUGUUCCUUGGUCAGACGAUGAAUAUUAAAGAAUUUUAGAACCAUUAGAGAAAACCCAGCGCUGGUUUCUGAUCCCAGAUUCAGUUUCUGCAGAUCAAUAAUGUCCCAGGUUGGAUCUCCUGAACCUGCAAACCUCCACCUUCAACACCACAAGUCAGGUGGAGGAAGAUAAGAGAACAAAGUUGAGAAAAAAAGUAAGAGUAACAUUAAAAGUAACUUUUACACAAGAAAAAGUUUUCAAUAUGCUUGAAGUUGAGGUCAAUACUCAAAUCUGAUUAAUACUUUCUGCUGUACUUUCUCCUUACUGACCCUUUUGUUUGAUUUUUUCUAUUGAGUCAAUUCAUAACAGCAGAGCUUUGAUGAGCUUUGUGCUGAUGGAAGGAGGAUCAGGAAUAGAGCAGAGGACCUGCUGACCUACUGGUUCUAGUAGAUUCUAUAAAUGCAUGACUGAAACUAGUCAACAGCACUGGACCAAUGAGGAGAGAGGAGACACAGAGGACUGAGGAGACACAGGAAAUCCUGCUGGAAAUCCAGAGAAGUUUCCUGAUCCCAUGACGAUGAGUUGAUCAGAUACGGUGACCAACAGGUGCCAACGUGCAGCAAACAGAUUCAAGGAUGGCCUUUCAACCCUGGAUGUCAUUUAUGCUUUGGAGCUUCGUGCUUCUGUGUUCAGGCCCUUUAUGUGCACAAGUGUGGAAAAGCUGACAUCAGAAAUGUUUGAGGAAAUCUUUGAGGUUCAGCUCAGCGAAAAGGGCAGCACCAGACGACAAGAAGAAACCAGACUGCUAGGAUUCUCCUAGAGACGGACCAAACCUCGCUUUCCUGUUCAAACACUAUCAAAAUACCAAAGCCCAAGACAUACGAUCAGUUCCAAAAGAGACAUGAACUUCGGGAUACAAAACUCUUUGGACUUCAAAUACAGAAUCACAAAACUCAAAUGUGGAUGUUGGCCUGUGAAGGAAGAUGUUAACUUGUGAAACCUGCUCUGUCAAAGUUCUGACUCUGCUGCGUUGUGGUUGUUGGACACACACCUUUGAACUUUAGACUCGUUCAUUUCCGAGUCUUGUGUAGUUUUCUACAUAGGAUUCCCAAGUCAUGGAUGCACUAGGCCACUGUCUCUGGAGGUCCUCAAACUGUCCCUAAAGACGGUCAUGGCCACAUUGACUGCUGUUUGACUCGGUCAUAAACUGUCCCAAUUCCUCCUGGGAGUCUGGGAACCCACAGUCUGUUCUGCCAAACCGAGGAGUAAAAUACGCACAGGACGCAUAGAUUAGUUAUAUAUUUACAUUUCUUCAUUCAACUGUCACUACCAACUGUUAUGACUAUUGUUGAAAACUGUUGUAAUGCUUGAUUGUAUUUAUGUCAUCAGAAAUUGUUACAAUAAAAGUGACAUACUAUUAUCACAUGGCUGAUUUUUUUUGUUUUGACAAAUUAUUUUUGAAAGCUGCCAAACAGGCAACAAAUUAACCAGAUGUUAAUUAAAUAAAUGA